GCUGGGCAUGGUGGCGUGCGCCUGUAAUCCCAGCUACUUAGGAGGCUGAGGCAGGAGAAUCGCUUGAACCCAGGAGUCAGGGCUGCAGUGAGCCAAGAUCAUGCCACUGCACUCCAGCCUGGGCGACAGAGUGAGAUUCCAUCUCAA
rfam:Gorilla gorilla gorilla genomic chromosome, chr1, whole genome shotgun sequence